rnacentral:lncRNA from 1 species
UCACACACAACUUCACGGGCUGGACCUCUUGCCUUGAAAGAGCAACGCAGCUGCCUGGGGAUAGCUUGCACUCAGCUGCUGGAAGGAGGAGGUUGCCCUAAACAAACGAUUUAACUCCCAGCUGAGCCCAGCUACCCCAACUAAAUACACAGUGAUUAAAGCCAUUUUCUCUUACAGAGUCCUUACAAUAUCAGCUCAGUGCCAGCACUGCAGCUCUUAGAGAGGACAGUCAUCCACACCAGUGCUAGGCAACUGCAGUUAUAUUUCUUGACUUUAUGGAGAAACUGGGUUUCUAGUCCUGGCCUGCUUUGCUUCCCAUCUCACAGCAGUUGUAUUUUAAUCCUUCAGUGAUGCAUCUCCUCAACAUGCACAACAGCCAUGGCCGGGGAGCUUCCUGGAGGAAGUAAUUACAGAAAUUGAGCUCAACCAAGCAAUUGAAAAAGCUGGUAUCUUAGAGCUCCAAUUUUUCUCUCUGCUGCACUCAGGACCUGCAUCAGCCUGAAAUACACCACUGCCAACAGGCUUUGCUCUUCUCCAGUUGCUGUUUGAAUCUUCACCAGUGCUGACAGCUCUACAGAGCUGACCCAGAAGCUCCAGUUCACCAAGGAUCAACCAGUUCCAUGAUGAAGCUGUAACGGUUACACCAGCGUAGUGCUCAGCAUAGGAGCGUUUGACCCCGCAGCACUAUUUCCAGCCCUGGGACAUGGAGGCUUCUGUCUGAUAGCAGCCUGCUAAAAGGCUUUGCUUCUCUCACCUUACCUGGCAGCCAACACAUCACAGCCAACUCCAUAAUCCCCCCAAGCAAAGCACAUCUCAGCAGUAACUUAAUCUGAACUUGUACUUCAGCUCUCACAGCUAGCUUGAAUGAAAAUGAAAAGCAACUGAUAAAGGAAAAUCUACAAAGUGAAGUAUGUGGUGAGGGGGACCAGAGGCAGAGCAUGCAACUGGAAAGAGCAACGCCACAGCAGAUCCAGCAGGGCAAACAUUAAUUGCUUUUUAAUUAUUCCAGUGCUUUUCUCCCACAGUAGUUGGUAAUUAAAGGAUUCCUGCCUGCCCUCCGGUGGUUAAGGAGGAGAGAAAACCAAGAGCGUGUCAGCAGAGCGAGCCCCGGAACUGAGCCUGGCUUACCCCACAGUGGACAGCAGGAAGCUUCAGUAUUUCCAGCUGAUACAGUUGCAGGGUUUGUUUCUGAUCAGAGAUCCGGGUAGGAAAG